AUAAGCGUCGGUAAGGUGAUAUGAACCGUUAUAACCGGCGAUUUCCGAAUGGGGAAACCCAGUGUGUUUCGACACACUAUCAUUAACUGAAUCCAUAGGUUAAUGAGGCGAACCGGGGGAACUGAAACAUCUAAGUACCCCGAGGAAAAGAAAUCAACCGAGAUUCCCCCAGUAGCGGCGAGCGAACGGGGAGCAGCCCAGAGCCUGAAUCAGUAUGUGUGUUAGUGGAAGCGUCUGGAAAGGCGCGCGAUACAGGGUGACAGCCCCGUACACAAAAAUGCACAUGCUGUGAGCUCGAUGAGUAGGGCGGGACACGUGGUAUCCUGUCUGAAUAUGGGGGGACCAUCCUCCAAGGCUAAAUACUCCUGACUGACCGAUAGUGAACCAGUACCGUGAGGGAAAGGCGAAAAGAACCCCGGCGAGGGGAGUGAAAAAGAACCUGAAACCGUGUACGUACAAGCAGUGGGAGCACGCUUAGGCGUGUGACUGCGUACCUUUUGUAUAAUGGGUCAGCGACUUAUAUUCUGUAGCAAGGUUAACCGAAUAGGGGAGCCGAAGGGAAACCGAGUCUUAACUGGGCGUUAAGUUGCAGGGUAUAGACCCGAAACCCGGUGAUCUAGCCAUGGGCAGGUUGAAGGUUGGGUAACACUAACUGGAGGACCGAACCGACUAAUGUUGAAAAAUUAGCGGAUGACUUGUGGCUGGGGGUGAAAGGCCAAUCAAACCGGGAGAUAGCUGGUUCUCCCCGAAAGCUAUUUAGGUAGCGCCUCGUGAAUUCAUCUCCGGGGGUAGAGCACUGUUUCGGCAAGGGGGUCAUCCCGACUUACCAACCCGAUGCAAACUGCGAAUACCGGAGAAUGUUAUCACGGGAGACACACGGCGGGUGCUAACGUCCGUCGUGAAGAGGGAAACAACCCAGACCGCCAGCUAAGGUCCCAAAGUCAUGGUUAAGUGGGAAACGAUGUGGGAAGGCCCAGACAGCCAGGAUGUUGGCUUAGAAGCAGCCAUCAUUUAAAGAAAGCGUAAUAGCUCACUGGUCGAGUCGGCCUGCGCGGAAGAUGUAACGGGGCUAAACCAUGCAC
rnacentral:rRNA from 1 species